rnacentral:lncRNA from 1 species
AAAACCUCUUUCUUCUUUCUCACCAACCCUGAUAGCUCUCUUCCUCUUUCUUUUGUUCGUUCUCCAACCACCGACCAUUGAAUCUGGUGAUUAAGGGCUCUAAACUUAAAAGCUUGAUGAGAGGAACAAUUUGGUGACUUUGGGUUGCGAAAUAAGGGUCUGGAUCGAGAAAAAACUCGGUCGGUGUGAAGCGUCACCGCUGUGAUUCCGUCUUCUGGCGAUCCAUGCUGUUUUCGACGAGACUAGGCCUAGAGGUGGGUCUCGAUCGACUCCUCUCCUCUAGGCGAACCUUUCCCCCUCCACCAAUUCCAGUGCUGAAGCUUUAAUGACAAGACCGCCAUGGAUGGCAGUGGCAAGGCUACUGUCGAGGCCAUUUCCUGCCAAAUGAGACACACCCAGUCCAAAUUCAUCACAGAUUCUGAGUCCCCAUGAAAUUUCUAGCAUUUUGGUGUAUAUGUUGCUCAGUUCCGGCAAUAGUCGAUUUUUCAGCCAUCGUGUACAGUGGCCGACGUCGACAUUCUGGUGACCAGUCUGCAAGACUCCGGCGGGGCCAUAGGAGCCAGAAUUCUUAUCUCGAUUCGGGCAGUGGGAUGGAGUUAACGAAAUUUCUAUUGGUGAGCCCUAAGACUUUGAUACUAAAUUUUUCGAUAAUAAUAAGAGUUUGUUGAUCAAAUUUUAUUGUUUCAAUUUAGUUGAGCUAAAUGUAUAACUAAAACAGAAAUUUAUUAAAAUGUUAACUUAACUAAGUCAGUUGAUAGAUUAACCUAAAUCGAAGGGAAGUUAGAUUAAAAUCCGAUAUCUGGUUAUCGUUUUGGUGGAUAUCCACUUAUUAUUUAUAUAGUUCAAAUGGUAUGUAAAUAAUGGAGAAUGAGUUUUGAUUAAAGAUAAUGCAUGAUGGAUGGGCUGUAUAUUGAUUUGUGCCUUUGACACAGUGAUUUGACGCUAUCCCGAUUUACAAGGGAGAUGCAACUAAAUUUUCUGUAAAAUGUAUAAUAAUGAAUUAAAAUAAUUAUAUCAUUAAGAGAAAUAACUAAUAAAAUUACCGGUACUCGUAUUACUAAUAUAAUAAUAAUAAUAAAUAAAGUUAUUAUUUAUUAUUAUUAUUAUUACUACUACUUACCAAAGGACUGCAAAAUUUAUUAAAGUUUAUAUAUUAGAGUAAAUAAGUAAAUAAAGUAAUCAUAGAUAUACGAUUUGAUAAGUUAAGACGAACUACUAUAUUAACCAAAAUUGAUAAAUAAAUAAGAAUUAAAUUUCUAAAAUUAAAAUUCUUACUAGAAUUUUCUUUCUAGAUGCUUAUAAGGUCUAAAAUGACGAGACAAAAGUUGCAAGGGAGCUGUAACAAAGAUAGUCCUAUAGUCUUAUUAAGGACGAUAAAGAACUGUGAGCAGAGUUAGAUAACCUGCAUCACUUAUGCAUUAUACAAUCAUGCAUAUAUGUAUAAUAUAAUAUCUACGUGAAACAUGCAUACAUGUAGAAGUGCCAUAUAAGCGUGUAUGCCAUAAGCCACAUCAAACACAUAUAGUUUUAUAUUGGAAUAUAUAGAGAUGUUGGAUAUCAUACACUGUGUGAGUGAUAUGAAAUUUUGUCAUUGAAUAUGAGUUAUCUGUGAUGUGCCCUGGAAUUAGAAUAAUGUGGGUCACCCUGGGGUGAGAGCAUGGGCAUGGUGAGAGUGCCGACAAUGGGUUGUAAGCGAGUGGAGUGGCGCCCCCCUUGUGUACUCUAUAAUUUGAUGUGCAUCAAUGAUAAAAGAAAAAGAAAGAAAAGUAUCAAAAAGGAAAAUAACAGGAAAGAAAAGAGAAAUAGAUGGAUGAGGUCCCUCCAGCCCGAAUGGUGAUGGGCUCCUUCAGUGCACUUGUCACAAGGAUGGUGAAUUAUUUUUUUGAAAAUUAUUUUAAAGCAUGCUUUGGGGGUGAGCAUGAUCCUUGUUUAUAAUGGGUGAUUCCACGGACUAAUGUCCACUGUUUGAUUACCUGAAUUAUUGUGACUUGUUUGAUAAGUAUGCAUUCAUACUUGCUUAUUCAUCCAUAGUUAGCUAGAGGGCUACUGAUUAUAUAACAUGAUUAUCAUAUGUAUGAUUGUGUGGGGUGAGAGAGUUAUCUAACCCUAUUCAUUGAGUUUGGCGCUCACCCUUGACUACUUAUUUUUCUAGGUAAUAGAAGGAAAGAAGAACCCUAUGAAUCAUAUUGAGUUAAGAUGCAAAUAAAGAAAAAUAAUAAUAGUUGUAUUAUGUAUAUGCAAAAAAAAAAUAUAUAUAUAAUUUAUAGAGUUCCACAAUUGUAUCCGAAAUGGGCUGUAAUUAAAUAAUAUGGAUUUAUGUAUUAAUUACAUAAAUUGUAUUUUCGAUAUGUCUAUGGAGUAUCGAAUUAGGCUUUGAUUAUGAAAUUAUGAUUAUUGGGAAUGAGGCCACGAUUGUGAAGAGAAUAAGCUUAAUUGAUUCAGGCUUACUACGGACCUAGGAAGCCUUAAACUCACCCAGACCCUAGUGCCGGUCCACCGUUGAAAACGGGUCGUGACAUGAAAUGUGUAAAAUAUUUUUCAAACCUAAGUUUAAGUAUACAAUAAGUCGUUUAUAAAAUUUAGAAUGCCUGGAAAGUUGAAAGGUUGAAAAAGUAAAUUCAUGCAUUCAGAAAAAAAAGAAAUUAAUAUUAAAAUAUUAAUUAUAAAUGGGUGAUCGGAUAGAAGUUGUUUCCAAUUUCUUUUGGACCAGUUCAACAUAACAAAAGCAUUUGGCUUCUAUAUUCCGAAGUCAAAUCAUCUAAAUAAUUUUCUAUAUAUAAGCUAUGAAAGUUCAAUAAAGAUUCUUAGUUUCAAAUUUUAUAUAUAAAUCAAUUUUUUAAUAUAAUUUCUUUUGAAUUUCAUUAAAAACUUCAAAUCAAUACAAAUAAUAUAGGGAGGACGUUACCCCUCGCCUGAGGACCAGACAUAGAACAAAUUAAUUAUAAUUAAAAUAGUUAUUGUUUGCUGAUCUAAUAAAAAAUUUAAAUGAAAAUUGAAAGGUGAAUUUAAAAAAAUUGAUAGAUCUUCAGAGUUGUUGGCUAGACAAACUCCCUCAACCUUAUAUACAUAGCCUAAUUAUCCAUGAACUGGUUGCUUUCUGAUGAACAUAUAGGAUUUGAACCACUGAAUCCGAUGGAUAAAUAUGCAGCACUACUAGGUUCCAAAAGACAAAGAUCAUCAUAUAUUUAAAAUUUUCUCCACAAAUUUCACAUUUGUUCAAAUAAACAAAACAAAUGUAAAUACUUCACAUAAAAUGGCAUACUAGAUGGAGAUUAUUUAACUAAAACAUAAAAAAAUUGCAAUAAAACCAAAAAUAAUAGGGAGGGGUUGUCACAAGAGAUAAAAAUCAGCCUCUCCUCAUAUCUACAUGCUUGGUUUCUGUGUUAGAAUGGAGAAAAUGAAAGAAAAUUUGAAUGGAGAAAUAGAGAGCGUGCGGCUAAACCUAUACACGUUCCUUGUAACCUCUAGGUUCUCAUAUAUACAUCAAUUAGGUUUAUGUCUUGUUAGUGAUAAUUUAAGUUUAAAAUUUUCAUCAAAAGACAUAAUAGGAAUUUAGUCAAGUCGUCUGAAUAAUAUAAAUUCUUAAUUUCAGAUGACGCAUAUAUAUGUAGCUUUCAUCUUUAUAAUAAUUUCAUCUAUAUAUAUGUAUAUAAUUAAGUGGUGCUAAAUUAAACUUGACACAACUUUAGCAGAUUAAAAUAUCUAAAAUGCCCUUAUAUGUAUAUUGCAAGCAAAAUCUGUUGCAUGAACUUAGUGAAAGGAGUACCUAACCUGCUUGGGCCAAAUUUAUUUUUCGUGUGCAUAUAUAUAAUUGUACAUCUGAAAGUGAACUUUUUUUCAAUUUCAGUUACUAUUUUAGAAGGAAAACAUUACAUUAAUUCUAGCUACACUUUUUGUUACUCAUUAGAUUAUUUAUAAGAAUAUAACAUCAACAAUAAAUUAAAGUAUUAAUAAUA